rnacentral:rRNA from 1 species
UUAUUGAUAUGCUUAAGUUCAGCGGGUAUCCCUA